GGCGGCAGGCCUAACACAUGCAAGUCGAACGGUAACAGGAAGCAGCUUGCUGUUUCGCUGACGAGUGGCGGACGGGUGAGUAAUGUCUGGGAAACUGCCUGAUGGAGGGGGAUAACUACUGGAAACGGUAGCUAAUACCGCAUAACGUCGCAAGACCAAAGAGGGGGACCUUCGGGCCUCUUGCCAUCGGAUGUGCCCAGAUGGGAUUAGCUAGUAGGUGGGGUAACGGCUCACCUAGGCGACGAUCCCUAGCUGGUCUGAGAGGAUGACCAGCCACACUGGAACUGAGACACGGUCCAGACUCCUACGGGAGGCAGCAGUGGGGAAUAUUGCACAAUGGGCGCAAGCCUGAUGCAGCCAUGCCGCGUGUAUGAAGAAGGCCUUCGGGUUGUAAAGUACUUUCAGCGGGGAGGAA
rnacentral:rRNA from 1 species